GAUGAACGCUGGCGGCGUGCCUAAUACAUGCAAGUCGAGCGAACAGACGAGGAGCUUGCUCCUCUGACGUUAGCGGCGGACGGGUGAGUAACACGUGGAUAACCUACCUAUAAGACUGGGAUAACUUCGGGAAACCGGAGCUAAUACCGGAUAAUAUAUUGAACCGCAUGGUUCAAUAGUGAAAGACGGCUUUGCUGUCACUUAUAGAUGGAUCCGCGUCGCAUUAGCUAGUUGGUAAGGUAACGGCUUACCAAGGCAACGAUGCGUAGCCGACCUGAGAGGGUGAUCGGCCACACUGGAACUGAGACACGGUCCAGACUCCUACGGGAGGCAGCAGUAGGGAAUCUUCCGCAAUGGGCGAAAGCCUGAUGGAGCAACGCCGCGUGAGUGAUGAAGGUCUUCGGAUCGUAAAACUCUGUUAUUAGGGAAGAACAAAUGUGUAAGUAACUAUGCACGUCUUGACGGUACCUAAUCAGAAAGCCACGGCUAACUACGUG
rnacentral:rRNA from 1 species